rnacentral:rRNA from 1 species
AAUUUUGGACAAUGGGGGAAACCCUGAUCCCGUCAUCCCGCGUGUAUGAUGAAGGCCUUCGGGUUGUAAAGUCCUUUUGUCCGAGAAGAAAAGGUAUCUCCUAAUACGAGAUACUGCUGACGGUAUCUGCAGAAUAAGCACCGUCUAUCUACUUGCCAGCAGCCGCGGUAAUACGUAGGGUGCAAGCGUUAAUCGGAAUUACUGGUCGUAAAGCGUGUGUAGGCGGUUCGGAAAGAAAGAUGUGAAAUCCCAGGACUCAACCUUGGAACUGCAUUUUUAACUGCCGAGCUAGAGUAUGUCAGAGGGGGGUAGAAUUCCACGUGUAGCAGUGAAAUGCGUAGAUAUGUGGAGGAAUACCGAUGGCGAAGGCAGCCCCCUGGGAUAAUACUGACGCUCAGACACGAAAGCGUGGGGAGCAAACAGG